UACGAAGGGUGCGAGCGUUAUUCGGAAUCACUGGGCGUAAAGGGUGCGUAGGCGGUUCCGCAAGUCCUGUGUGAAAUCUUCGGGCUCAACUCGAAGUCUGCACGGGAAACUGCGGGGCUUGAGUGUGGGAGAGGUGAGUGGAAUUCCCGGUGUAGCAGUGAAAUGCGUAGAGAUCGGGAGGAACACCAGUGGCGAAGGCGACUACCUGGACCAGCACUGACACUGAGGCACGAAAGCGUGGGGAGCAAACAGG
rnacentral:rRNA from 1 species